CACACCUCUUGGUAUCUGGAGGACUAUGAUGUAAUUACCUACAACUGAAUUCAAAAGAGCUUCUAGAAAGGGCCCCUGCCCUCGGGGAUUGGACAGUGCUGUUAGAGACACAGGGGAGACAGGGGAGCAAAGCACAAUACAGGGCCUACUGCUGUGAUGUUUCCUAGGCGUUCGAAGGAAGGAGACAUGGCAAGACGUGGCUAGAGUAAUGGGAGAGUCCCUCCUGGAGGAUCUGGGGAGAUGAUCAAAGGCUCAAAAGGCCACAGAGGUUCCAUGUGACUCAAGUCAUCUUUAAAAAGCAUUUUCUUUUCUUUUUCUUUCUUUCUUUUUUUUUUUUUUUUUCCUACUGUAACCCUCAUAAAUCUUUGGGGGCAGGUUGCAACCAAAGAUGCUGUGCCCAUCUGUAGCCACUAGCCACCGUAGUACUACUGGGGAAAUCGACAAUGAUAAAAAGCCCGAACCUCCUCCAAAAACAAUCAGAAAACAAAAUUACUAGAAAGAACAACUUUCCUACUUCUCCUUCAGAUUUGCAACAGUUGAUACUCCCUCACAGGACAAGAGUACACGAUUCAGCAUUCUCCCAAACACACUAAUAUUUAAUUUUAAAUUUGCAAAUAUGAGUGAAAUGUGUUACUUCACUGUUUUACUUGAAUUUCUUUCUACUGAUGAUAAAUACUUUUCCUAAUA